AUGGCCGACGCACUCCUAUCCGCUUCACUUCAAGUUCUAUUCGACAGGUUGACUUCUCCGGAGUUGAUGAACUUCAUCCGGGGACAGAAGCUUAGCCAUGAACUCCUCAACAAAUUGAAGAGGAAAUUGCUGGUUGUCCACAAAGCGCUCAAUGAUGCGGAGAUGAAGCAAUUUUCAGACCCACUAGUCAAAGACUGGCUGGUCCAGGUUAAGGAUGCUGUGUAUCAUGCGGAGGACCUGUUGGACGAGAUCGCUACCGAAGCCUUGCGGUGCGAGAUUGAAGCUGCUGACUCCCAACCUGGUGGAAUUUAUCAGGUGUGGAACAAGUUCUCUACCAGGGUUAAGGCUCCAUUUGCCAAUCAAAGCAUGGAGUCCAGGGUGAAGGAGAUGAUUGCUAAGCUUGAAGAUAUUGCUGAAGAAAAAGAGAAGCUUGGGCUGAAAGAAGGUGAGGGCGAUAAACUGUCACCAAGGCCACCAACCACUUCUUUGGUGGAUGAGUCCUCUGUGGUGGGCAGGGAUGGAAUCAAAGAGGAGAUGGUGAAGUGGUUGCUUUCUGAUAAGGAAAAUGCAACAGGCAACAACAUAGAUGUGAUGUCCAUAGUGGGCAUCGGCGGCAACGGCAAGACCACACUCGCUCAGCUUCUCUAUAACCAUGACACGGUCAAGCAACACUUCCACUUGAAAGCAUGGGUCUGUGUUUCCACUCAGAUUUUUCUCAUCGAGGAGGUGACAAAAUCAAUUCUCAAGGAAAUCGGUUCUGAAACUAAACCUGAUGACACCCUAAAUUUGCUUCAGCUUAAACUCAAAGAGAGAGUAGGUAACAAGAAAUUUCUUCUUGUUCUGGACGACGUCUGGGAUAUGAAGUCUGAUGAUUGGGUAGGCCUACGAAAUCCACUCCUCACUGCAGCAGAGGGAAGCAAGAUUGUUGUGACUAGUCGCAGUGAAACUGCUGCAAAAAUCAUGCGAGCAGUCCCUACUCAUCAUUUGGGGACAUUAAGCCCUGAAGAUAGUUGGUCCAUAUUUACAAAACUUGCAUUUCCAAAUGGAGACUCCAGCGCUUAUCCACAGCUUGAGCCCAUAGGAAGAAAGAUUGUGGACAAGUGCCAAGGAUUGCCUUUGGCUGUUAAAGCACUCGGGAGCCUCUUGUACUACAAGGCCGAAAAAGGAGAAUGGGAAGAUAUUUUGAAUAGCGAAACGUGGCAUUCCCAAACUGAUCAUGAAAUUCUUCCGUCUCUUAGAUUGAGUUAUCAGCAUCUCUCUCCUCCUGUGAAGCGUUGUUUUGCUUACUGUUCAAAUUUUCCCAAGGACUAUGAAUUCCACAAAGAGAAGCUGAUUCUAUUAUGGAUGGCAGAAGGGUUUUUACACUCAGGACAAAGUAACAGAAGAAUGGAAGAGGUAGGUGAUUCAUAUUUAAAUGAACUUUUAGCAAAGUCGUUUUUUCAAAAAUGUAUUAGAGGAGAAAAAUCAUGCUUUGUAAUGCAUGAUCUGAUACAUGACUUGGCUCAACAUAUCUCCCAAGAAUUUUGCAUUCGAUUGGAAGAUUGUAAGCUGCCAAAAAUAUCUGAUAAGGCUCGCCAUUUUUUCCACUUUGAAAGUGACGAUGACCGGGGAGCUGUGUUUGAAACUUUUGAGCCUGUUGGUGAAGCCAAACAUCUCAGAACAAUCUUAGAGGUGAAGACAUCAUGGCCUCCUUAUUUGUUGAGUACAAGAGUUUUACACAAUAUAUUACCAAAAUUUAAAUCUUUGCGGGUGUUGUCAUUGCGUGCAUACUGCAUAAGAGAUGUGCCUGAUUCAAUACACAAUUUAAAACAGUUGCGUUACUUGGAUCUCUCUACAACAUGGAUUAAAAGAUUACCUGAAUCAAUAUGUUGUUUGUGCAAUUUGCAAACGAUGAUGCUGAGUAAUUGUGAUUCUCUUCUUGAAUUGCCUUCAAAAAUGGGGAAGUUGAUUAAUUUGCGCUAUCUUGAUAUUAGUGGGUCUAAUUCAUUGGAAGAAAUGCCAAAUGAUAUAGGUCAAUUAAAAAGUUUGCAGAAAUUAUCUAAUUUUACUGUGGGCAAAGAAAGUGGAUUCAGAUUUGGAGAAUUGUGGAAGCUUUCAGAGAUUCGAGGAAGACUUGAAAUUUCAAAAAUGGAGAAUGUGGUGGGUGUUGAGGAUGCAUUGCAGGCGAAAAUGAAGGAUAAGAAAUACCUUGAUGAGUUAUCCUUGAAUUGGAGUCGGGGGAUUAGUCAUGAUGCUAUACAAGAUGAUAUUCUCAACAGGCUAACACCUCAUCCAAAUUUAAAAAAGUUGUCCAUUGGAGGGUAUCCUGGUCUAACAUUUCCAGAUUGGCUUGGAGACGGAUCAUUUUCAAAUCUCGUAUCCCUUCAGCUUUCGAAUUGUAGGAAUUGCUCAACAUUGCCGCCACUGGGGCAGCUACCUUGUCUUGAACAUAUAAAGAUCUUUGGAAUGAAUGGAGUAGUGAGGGUGGGUAGUGAGUUUUAUGGGAAUUCUUCUUCCUCGCUUCAUCCCUCCUUCCCAUCCCUGCAAACUCUAUCAUUUUCCUCUAUGUCCAAUUGGGAGAAAUGGUUAUGUUGUGGAGGCAAACAUGGAGAAUUCCCUCGUUUCCAGGAGCUUUCUAUAAGUAACUGUCCAAAACUCACUGGGGAAUUACCAAUGCACCUUCCUUUAUUGAAGGAACUUAACCUUCGAAAUUGCCCACAGCUGCUUGUGCCUACACUCAACGUUCUUGCUGCCCGUGAAUUGCAGUUGAAAAGGCAAACUUGUGGGUUCACAGCUAGUCAAACUUCAAAAAUUGAAAUUUCAGACGUCUCUCAGUUGAAGCAACUUCCACUGGUACCCCACUAUCUCUACAUUAGAAAAUGUGAUUAUGUGGAGUCUCUACUAGAGGAGGAAAUCCUGCAAACCAACAUGUACAGUUUGGAAAUUUGUGAUUGCUCUUUUUACAGAUCCCCAAACAAAGUUGGCUUACCCACUACAUUGAAAUCGUUAUCAAUCUCUGAUUGUACCAAAUUGGACCUUCUUCUACCUAAGUUGUUCAGAUGCCAUCACCCGGUUCUCGAAAAUCUAUCAAUCAAUGGCGGUACCUGUGAUUCUCUCUUGUUGUCCUUCUCAGUAUUGGACAUCUUCCCCAGGUUGACUGAUUUCGAAAUAAAUGGUCUUAAGGGGCUUGAGGAGCUCUGCAUCUCGAUUUCAGAGGGGGAUCCCACAUCUCUUCGUAAUUUGAAGAUCCAUCGGUGCCUUAAUCUUGUAUACAUCCAACUGCCUGCUCUUGACUCGAUGUACCAUGAUAUUUGGAAUUGCUCCAAUCUCAAAUUGCUGGCGCACACCCAUUCAUCUCUGCAGAAACUGUGUUUAGCGGAUUGUCCAGAAUUGUUGUUGCACAGGGAGGGUUUGCCUUCCAACCUACGGGAACUUGCAAUAUGGCGCUGCAACCAACUCACGUCACAGGUGGACUGGGAUUUGCAAAGACUGACCUCUCUUACUCAUUUCACAAUCGGAGGUGGAUGUGAAGGCGUGGAAUUAUUUCCCAAGGAGUGUCUGCUGCCCUCUUCUCUAACUCAUCUUUCAAUCUGGGGUCUUCCAAAUCUCAAGUCUCUUGACAACAAGGGGCUUCAACAACUCACCUCUCUUCGAGAAUUAUGGAUCGAGAACUGCCCUGAGCUCCAAUUCUCGACAGGAUCUGUUCUUCAACGCCUUAUCUCUCUCAAGAAAUUAGAAAUCUGGUCGUGCAGAAGGCUCCAAUCCUUGACAGAAGCGGGUCUUCACCACCUCACCACUCUUGAAACCUUAAGUAUCGUCCGUUGCCCUAAGCUCCAAUACUUGACAAAAGAGAGACUGCCAGACUCCCUCUGUUCUCUGGAUGUCGGAUCGUGUCCUUUGCUGGAACAACGGCUCCAAUUCGAGAAAGGGCAAGAAUGGCGUUAUAUAUCUCACAUUCCAAAAAUAGUGAUCGAUUGGGUGCUAUUUUAAUGGGAGUGGCAGUGCACCAACACAUGGGCAGGCAAUUUCUGAUGACAUUUGCAGCAUAGACACCAGUAGUCAUGGUAGUGGGAUUUGUGGAUUUAACAACCAUUGUAUUGCUUGAUGAAGAGGGGAGGUUGUCCAAAUUGUUGCCUAUAUGGGUAUUCUUUCUUGGAUAUAGAUUUUAAAGAUGAAAUUUUUUCAAUUGCCCGAUUGCCAAGCAGAUGAAAGGGGAGCAGAGAGGAAUGUGGUACACGGGCUAUUGACAAGCAAAAUUGAGUUCUAGAGGGAACAUAAUCCCAUGAUCUUGUAUAUAUGAAAUUGCCCUCUCUCAACUCCAAAAAUAGUGAUCAAUAUACCGUCAGGUAAUUUGUUUUAUGCUUAGACUUAUUUUCUUUAAAAAAGUUAUGUUCCAAUUCAUAAAGUAGCUGGCCAAGUACUCAUGUUUCAAAAUUUCUAACAAUCUCUAUAGUUGCAUGUCUCCAUAACUCAUUUUCUAGCCUUCUUAUUGGGAAUUUGGUUAUGCAGCAUGCUCUGCCCUAUCUUUUUUUUUAAAAAAAAAAGAAUUUUCUAAUGAAGUAAAGAAGAGUAAAGAAAGAUUGAUCCAUGGUAAUUCAUAUUUUAAAGAAGCCAGUUAUCAUAUUUUCAUGACACCAUCAAUUUACCUUUCGAAAUGGGCAGAGAUGACUCCUAGCUACUUGUGUGUUUAUCCCCUAUAAGAACACGUGGAUACAUUUUUAGGUAAUUCAUGGUUAUUGAAAUAUGUAUUGAAUCUUACCCACAUCAUAAUAUGUACUUAGUUGGCUACAUAUGUAAUAUACAUGUUAUGGCUUUGCUCCCUUUGAUAUCAAAAUAAAUUGAUCACUACUUUUUCUUUUCUGUGUCUCAUAUUAAGUAACAAGGAUCAGCAUAGAAGACUUACUAUGUGAACAAUGUUUGAUAUGACCAUGGAAAAAAAUAUGAGGUAAACAUCAAUAACUUUAUGCCAAUGUAUUUUUAAAUUUGGGAACAUUUGGAAAACUACAAUUCCAAAAGCAACAUUUUUAUGUGAGGUAUUUUAUGGUAUUGAAUUUAUAGAAUUUUUUAGUUAUCUGAACUCUCUUCUAGUUCAGCAGCCAACACUGAUUGAGGGCCCCUAUAAAGAAAAAGUUAGUCUAUUUUGCACUAACCCAGUGGACCACCUUUAAAAGGAAAGUUCGCUUUGAGAGCAUAUUUGACUAUUAGUCAAGCUGGACUAGCCUGGGACUCAAUUCCAUCAACCAGCGUCAAUAGUAUCAACUAUGGAUGGCCCUUGCUUGGUUGGGUCGAGUUACAAUCAGACUCAAGUACGUUCACAUGGGAAUUACUGACGACAGUUGCAGUGCAGCUGCAAGUGGCCGUGGCAGCGGGAUUUGCGGAUUCAACAGCUAUUGUAUUGUUUGAUGAGGAGAGGGGGCUGUUCAGAUGUGAGUGCCUGUGUAGGCAUUCUUUCUUGGCUCCAUAUUUUAAAGACUAAAUUUUCCAAUGCCCAGUUGCCAAGCAGAUGAAGGGGAAGCAGAGAAGAAUGCAGUAGAGUUCAUAGAAUUAAACAACACAGACUGGAAAUCUCUAAUUAUGAACUUUGGAUUGGACGGACUGUUGACAAGGAAAAAUUUUAAAGAGUCUUGUAAAGUGGAUUGGUUCUGUGCAGUAGCCAUUUAAACAGACAAUGUGUUGGCAGAAGAGAUUCCUUCUCUCCUAUGGAAGACAGAGCAAAAGGCUUGCAGACAGGCCCAGAUAAGUCUACCUUGAUUCUUGCUGGGUCACUACUCCUUGGCAGCUCAGUGUUCUUCAAUCUCUUUGUGUGGUUAGCUGUAGCUGGGCUGCUGUCUUCUGAUACUGUAAGAAACUGAUCAGUCUCCAGUUUGUUUCAAGCAUACUGGGGACCAAGGUGUAACAUCUGCAGGCACUUAUUCCCUAGGCAAUUGAUGCUACUUCUUCUCUGAAUAAAUUUCCAAUUUUUCUUUUUCAA